GCUACAGGCUUAACACAUGCAAGUCGAGGGGCAGCAUUUUAGUUUGCUUGCAAACUAAAGAUGGCGACCGGCGCACGGGUGAGUAACACGUAUCCAACCUGCCGAUAACUCGGGGAUAGCCUUUCGAAAGAAAGAUUAAUAUCCGAUAGUAUAUUAAAACCGCAUGGUUUUACUAUUAAAGAAUUUCGGUUAUCGAUGGGGAUGCGUUCCAUUAGUUUGUUGGCGGGGUAACGGCCCACCAAGACAACGAUGGAUAGGGGUUCUGAGAGGAAGGUCCCCCACAUUGGAACUGAGACACGGUCCAAACUCCUACGGGAGGCAGCAGUGAGGAAUAUUGGUCAAUGGACGAGAGUCUGAACCAGCCAAGUAGCGUGAAGGAUGACUGCCCUAUGGGUUGUAAACUUCUUUUAUAUGGGAAUAAAGUAUUCCACGUGUGGGAUUUUGUAUGUACCAUAUGAAUAAGGAUCGGCUAACUCCGUGCCAGCAGCCGCGGUAAUACGGAGGAUCCGAGCGUUAUCCGGAUUUAUUGGGUUUAAAGGGAGCGUAGGUGGAUUGUUAAGUCAGUUGUGAAAGUUUGCGGCUCAACCGUAAAAUUGCAGUUGAAACUGGCAGUCUUGAGUACAGUAGAGGUGGGCGGAAUUCGUGGUGUAGCGGUGAAAUGCUUAGAUAUCACGAAGAACUCCGAUUGCGAAGGCAGCUCACUAGACUGCAACUGACACUGAUGCUCGAAAGUGUGGGUAUCAAACAGGAUUAGAUACCCUGGUAGUCCACACAGUAAACGAUGAAUACUCGCUGUUUGCGAUAUACAGUAAGCGGCCAAGCGAAAGCAUUAAGUAUUCCACCUGGGGAGUACGCCGGCAACGGUGAAACUCAAAGGAAUUGACGGGGGCCCGCACAAGCGGAGGAACAUGUGGUUUAAUUCGAUGAUACGCGAGGAACCUUACCCGGGCUUAAAUUGCAUUUGAAUAAUCUGGAAACAGGUUAGCCGCAAGGCAAAUGUGAAGGUGCUGCAUGGUUGUCGUCAGCUCGUGCCGUGAGGUGUCGGCUUAAGUGCCAUAACGAGCGCAACCCUUAUCUUUAGUUACUAACAGGUCAUGCUGAGGACUCUAGAGAGACUGCCGUCGUAAGAUGUGAGGAAGGUGGGGAUGACGUCAAAUCAGCACGGCCCUUACGUCCGGGGCUACACACGUGUUACAAUGGGGGGUACAGAAGGCAGCUACCUGGCGACAGGAUGCUAAUCCCAAAAACCUCUCUCAGUUCGGAUCGAAGUCUGCAACCCGACUUCGUGAAGCUGGAUUCGCUAGUAAUCGCGCAUCAGCCAUGGCGCGGUGAAUACGUUCCCGGGCCUUGUACACACCGCCCGUCAAGCCAUGAAAGCCGGGGGUACCUGAAGUACGUAACCGCAAGGAGCGUCCUAGGGUAAAACUGGUAAUUGGGGCUAAGUCAUAA
rnacentral:rRNA from 1 species